rnacentral:misc_RNA from 1 species
GUCGAACAGUCUAAUAUUGCAAAACCAUGAAUUGACUUGCCAAACAGACAGCAACUAUACAUGAGGAAGGAUAUUCGAAAGCAUAUAUACACAAUAUCUGGUCACUCAGUGUACCUACAGGGCUCUAACUCAAACUGGAUCAGCUUCUGGCAAAUCUCUUCAAAACAAUAUAGAGACAAAAAACAAAAGAAUGGGCACAAGGAGAUCCGCUCCACCACGGGGACAGCUAUAAUUUCCCAAUAUUUCUGAUGUUGGUAGAGCUGGCAAAGACAUCUCAGGAGCACAAAGAGUCAAGGAUGUGGCUGCCGAUGAUGAAGGCCAUGGAGCAGCAAUAUUGUCAUUUAAGUCGCAAGUAAAGCUGAAACCUGUUGAGUUGUCAUACACCAGAUCUGCUGGAUAACUUCGAAGCAAGCACCCUUCUUCUUGCCCGUAUGCCUGGAGACUGAAGUCUUUCAGGUCAACAUCACAAAGCUCGUAAACAUUCGUCAUGACCCCGGCCUUCUGUAACAUAAAACCAAAUGCCGCAGCACAUAUAAUUGCUUGUCGAUUUGUAAUCAACAUCUGCUUCUGUAUCCCAGAAAUAUAGGCAUUUAAUGAGCUACAACACGAAGGGCUUGGAGCGGCUAAAUUUCUGCACGCAUUGACCACUUCUAAUGGCUGCUUGAAUUCCAGGGGACACACUUUAUUAACUUUGCAGGAAGACAAUAACCGGAAUGCAGAAUUGGCAUCAUCAAAUUGUAGUUUUCUUGCAAUCCAUGAGUAGACCACUCCUUUACAGUCGCUAAGUGUAUCAAUUUCAUUUGGUACUCCAACUAUGUUCUUACCACCAAGAGCCGUCUUGAUCCCUGAAAUCAGAAGAGCAGCCUCCGAAAUUGCAGGCUGGCAAACAGGCCUACAACAUUCUUUAAGAGAAUCGAC